rnacentral:lncRNA from 1 species
CAUGUCAGAGAAGUCAAGUCUUAUCUCAUUGAGAUAAAAACUAAGACUGUGGUGGCUAUCUCUAAGCUACUAAAAGAAGCUAUUAUUAGAGAAACAAAAGCCGUUAGGAAGACAAUAAAUUGAGAUGAUCCAAUUGAUGCGAAAGUCUUUCUAAAUAGUAGUAAAGACAUCCUUAAAGAAUUCUUAUAUAACUUCACUCACUGAUUAUUACUUAACCUUUCUUGAAAAUUCUCACCAAAUUGAAGCACCUCAAAGAUGUGUAAAUAACCAACCUACUUCACAGCACAAUCUUCGUAGCAACGAGCUGAUGAAGGCUGCAACUCUGCACCUUCAAGCUCCCAGUCCACCAACACACAACGACGACCUCGAAGCUGACUUUAAUUGGUCGGAUCAACCUCCAACUGCCUCAUAGAACUUGGGCUGUGAUAUUGACUCAGAAAAAAAAAUUCCACGGAUCAGAAAU